CUACCUGUACUCCUAUAUAAAGAUGUAUAUUCUACAACUAUCAAAUCCAACGGCUGAUAUUAACCCACUAGCACAGUAGGUUUUAAACUCACCCUCUUUUAUUUUUUCACCUACUAGUACACCCACAGCUGUCGCCUUCUCUCUCUCUCGCUCUCUCGGUCUCUCCACCAUCUCUCUCUCUCGCUCUCUCUCUGUUUCUCGCUCUUUCCCGCACACCUCUCGCCACUCUCUCCCGCAUAGUUUUCUUCCUCUCGCUCUCAUCUCUCUCUUUCUCUCUCUCGCUUGCUCGCUCGCUCGCUCGCAGAUCAGUCCAUCGGGCGGUGUUCGGC
rnacentral:lncRNA from 1 species